rnacentral:lncRNA from 1 species
CGCACGCUCAGGGUGUGGGCCUCUGCCGGCUACUUUCCAAGAAGCAAUGAGACCUGCUUGGAAUUCUUAGUGGGAUUAUCUGGAAGUUGCUGGCAGAGGGGGUUGGGUGCCGGAGGAAGGAACAGGCAGAGAGAUCACGUGUCUCACCUGUUCUGCAUUUCUUUCUUCUCUCCCUCUGUCUUUAGCUCCUUCAUUCUAUCCCUCCUUGGAAGAUGAAUAGUCACUUUGUAAACUGAAUUCCAUUUUACUGGGAUCCGUUUUGCAGGGAAGUCCCAGCCAUCAUCUGAUCUAUUCUGAGGGAUCGGGGUUACCUGAGGGAUUGGGAGAUUCCUGAUGCUUUCACCAAGAACAUCAUCUGGCCAAGAAUACUUUUUUGACUUUAGUGCAACAAUAAAGGACUCCAGACCAGUGACCUAUUGAAGUGGUGCCUCUGGCUCAGUCGGCCUCAGUCUUCCGCUGGGACUCAGACCUGCUCCGGAAGUAAAAAAUGUUCCUGAUAUGUCAUCAACUCUGUCCUCUUUGUGCUUAAUUUGCAUUGACAACUGAAUAGUUAAGCAGAUGCAUCAUUGGGCCUCCUUGUUCAUUUUUUGCACUUCACUGUAAAAAACAAGAAAUGAUUAUUGAAAAAUAUAUAUAUCUGCUGGAAAACUCCUUUCUCCCCUC